AUCCUUUGUAGUUCAGAAGCGUGAUGUUUGGGUUUUCAUGUGCAUGCGUGAGAUGUGCCUCCCACAAAUCUUGUUCCAACCUGGGCACAUUAUCCGUCUGAUA